rnacentral:lncRNA from 1 species
GGGGAGACUCGCCGCGCCUAGGAAUGACCCGUACGUAGGCUGCUGGGGUGAGAAGGCGUAAGGUCAGCCGGACGGGGGGAGUCUGAUCAGUGACCUCAGCAUGGCCUUUGGGAAGGGACGAGGCCGGCCCACUAUCCCCCUAGCUUAAACAUGCCCAGCCUGGGACCGCACUAUUCACAAUAGCCAAGACAUGGAAAACAAUCUAAAUGUCCAUCAGCAGAUGAAUGGAUUCAGAAGAUGUGGUACCUAUGAACAACAGAAUACCAUUCAUCCAUAAAGGACAACAUAAUGCCAUUUGCAGCAACAUGGUUGGAACUAGAGAUUCUCACAGUAAAUGAAAUACCAACUUGAAAGUUACUCGAUGACCAUACAAUCCAUACAGGACCCGCAUUUCAGAGAUCAGCAAGAGAGGGAUGGAAGAGCAGCAUAGUUAAGAUCCACAGGCUGGAGAACAACAGAGUCUAAUGGAGUGAUCACUCCCACGAGGCCUCAGCAUCUUGUCUUCUAGGAUGCCCCUUCGGAUGACUCUUCCACUGCCUGACUCCGGUCCCUCCAGAAUCUCUGUAGCUCCUUUUUGCCCUUGGGUACUAUGAAAGUCAUGGACUGGCCCAUGGAUCAGUAGAUCAGAUGCAGCUCUACCAAUGCGAUUCAUCAGUACUGAAAACAGAGAAGAACCAGGGAGAAGAGGGAAGGUAAGUUAGUGCAGUACAUUCUUCAAAGGCAGGGCAAAGGACUGUGUUCCUAUAUUGUGGUAAAGAGUAACAGAGGAGAAAAACAGAAAAGAAGAGAAAGUAAAUCAAAGGCAAUUGGAGUUCCCUGAUGGCCUAGCUGUUAAGGAUCUGAAGUUGUCAGUGUGAUGGAGUGAGUCUGAUCCCUGGCCCAGGAAUUUUGCAUGCCGUGGGUGUGGCCAAAAAAACCAAAGCAAACAAAAAAACAUUGUAAGCACACUGAAACAGGUGGAUUUCACUGUAAGUGUAGCUUUUAAAAAAUUAUAUUCUAGUGAAAAUACAGAAUUAUGGUAUGUGCUGACAUUUAAGCAAAACGAUAUUUACGCAGGCCUUGAAAAGGUAGUGAAGACAAUGGUGGCUUAUUAUUAUUUCAGUAAAAGAAGUGCUGUCUGAUUAAAAAUUUUGAAUGCUUAGACUAUUGCAAAAUAAGCCUUAGCAGGCUUUCUGGAAAUGCUUAGCUCUCAGAGUGAAUCUUUGUCCCCUCUGUUAAAUCAUUCUGGAUUACAGCCCUAACAUGUCUGAUCACUAGCUUUAGCUUUAGACGUAACUUGUCUGCUCACUUGCCUUAGGCAUUCUUUUGGAGUUUCAGCAUUUUCAUCAAGUAAAUGAGAGAUUUAGACUAGAUGCUUUAGUAGUAAUAGUCAUUAACUUUAAAAAAUCUUCUGUCCUAUUCUAGGAGCCAUACUAGAACCUUUGAAAUAAGUUUUCUCAUUUAAUUGUUUUCUCAUACAGCCUUAUGAGAUAAUGUGAUAUUGCCUAUCUUAGAAGUGAGGAAGCUAAAAUUCAGAGUGUUUAGGUCUAGGUUUGAACCCUGACUCCAUUUGGUGCUGAAGAUUUUAAGCACUGUGUUGUCCAGCCUGUCUAUGGGUCCUUCAGCUUUAAUGUGCUUAAAUUCAUUUCUGUCAGAUCAAUAAACAGAUCUUGAGUUAGGUGUGAAUCUUUGAAAGCCAGAGGACUAGAUUGGUGUCUUACUUUUCUCUUCCUCUCCAAUGCCAAGCACAUUUUAGACCUGGCUGAAUUCAAGCUAAAGGAAUAAAACAAAUUAAUAAUUUUCUUAAGGGGCGGGAUUAUAUUUUAUUUUUUUCACGCUGCUGACUACACUUCCCUCUUUACAACAUGUAUAGCACGGUAUUUUACAUAUAAUAGACAUACAGUUUUUGACUUACUAUGGGUAAGACAAGGUUAAAAAAGGUUAAAAGUUUAACAGAAAAGGUUAAAAAAAUGAUCAACUUUUCUUGGCAGAAAAAUAGAUGAUAGAUAGAUAGGUAGAUAGAAAGAAAUUCAAAGCUUUCACUUAAACCCAUUUGUUUAACGUGGAGGAACUGAUAAUAACCAAGAGCCUGAGGUUAAGAGUGACUUUUCAGGGCAAAUCAGAGCUACAGCUGCUGACCUACACCACAGCUUAUGGCAGCACUACCGCAGCUCACGGCAACGGAUCCUUGCCCACUGAACAAGGCCCGGGAUCGAACCCACAUCCUCGUGGACACCAGUUGCGUUUGUUUCCACAGUGCCACAGUGGGAAUUCCCAGGUUCUUUAUUACAGGGACACUUGGCCUCCUCUUGGUUGUGCUCUUGGAUAGUGUUUGUUUUCACUGUUGCCUUCAAAAACAUUUCUCUUCCUUUUUUUAAAAGUAAUUUUAUUUGAUUUAGUCAUGUAUCUAUUACUUUUAAAUGGGAAACAAAUAAGGGACAGCGCAUUUACUGAAGCAUUUGCAUAUAUUGGGUCUGCAGAAAUAUUUACUUCUUUUUUUUUUUUUUUUUUUUUUUUUUUUCUUUUUUGUCUGCCCCAUGGCAUAUGGAGUUCCUAGGCCAGGGAGCAGAUCUGAGCUGUAGUUGUGACCUAUACCCACAGCUUCAGCAGUGCUGGAUCCUCAUGCCACUGAGCUGGGCCAGGGAUCGAUCUUAGGUCCUUGCCACCGCAGAGACACCGCCGAUCCCAUUUUGCACCACAUCAGGCAUGCCAGAAAUGUUUACUGAAUUAAAGCCUUCAUCAACAGUAAAACCAUGUAUAUAAGUGUAGAUCCUCUGUUGCAAUAGCAGUGUUAAAAACUAUGUUUUAUAAAAUUUUGGUUUUAACUUACAUAUCCAAUAGCCUUUCUCCUGAAUACUGGGAGAAGCCCAGCUGAGAGUACUUUUACUCUUGCGGAGACCCAAAUAAUUUGUAUUUAUAUUAUUAGUAAAGAAACACACAUAAGGUUAUUAUUUUAUCAAAUACAUAUGAAAAUUAUAUGCCAAAUUUCUAACAAUUGUGAAAUUCCAGUAACUUAGAAAUUCCAGUAUUUAGAAGUCAGUGCUCCUCCUUGACUUCAUCAGAGACAAACUAAGACUUGCCUUGAUAAAGAAACAACUUAAGUUCCAUUUAACCAUAAUAAUGAAAUAAUUCUAUGGGCCCAUUUCUUAUAAGUGCCUUCUUUAUUAUGUGUACUUAGCUUUAGACAGCCACAUUUUAAAGUAUGACCAUGAAACAAAAGCAGACGUGUCACAGAUUGAAUCCUUUCUGCUACCCGAAAAGCUCAGAGUACCAAUUUUAUUCUUAAGUUAAUAUUUAAUAAUGAAUACAUUUGCAUGUUUCUACAAAAAGUUAAAAUUUUUCUAUGGAUGCUUUUAUAUCUCUUAAAAGUAGUACCAGAAUUUCCAUUAUAAUGUCUACUUUGUCAUCUGCGACACGAAGUUAACUUCCAAUAAUGCUUGGCAUCCAAAUAGCCGUGACUGCACCUGUUGCCAGGUGGCCCCCCAGGGAGUGAGGUUAGACUUGGGGAAGACCCAAAUAAUUUCGUAGUGGGAAGGUCCCAGCUCAAGGAAGGGGAAAAUGUUUUUUGGAGCAGUUCAGUGAUUGUUUCUACUAAUGUACUGCAAUCAGGGCUUACUUCCUCAACUCCCUUUCAUUUUUCACUACACUGCAGUUUUGCUCCCUUCCCUAAAUUCUCCCAGAACAGGUCUUACCGGGGUCACAGUGGACCAUUAAAUGUCAAGUUCUGUAAACAGAUUUUGGCAGUGACUCCUGCAUAGUAUUUGGCAUUUUUCAUCAUCUUCUUGAUGGUCUCUUCUUUUUUGCUUCUGUGAUUCCUUUCUUCUACUUCUCUGACUCCCUGUUGGUAUUUACAGACCUGUUUUUCCAUUGACUGUUUGGUGCUGUCUUCCCUCCUGUGAUGGUUAGUUGUAUGUGUAAACUUGGCUAGGCUAUAUACCGUUAUUUGAUCAAACACUAAUCUAGAUGCUACUGUCAGAGUUUUUUUGUACAUUUUGAGUAUUUUUGUAGUUAACAUCUAUAAUCAGUUGACUUUAAGGAGAUAACGUGGUUGGGCCUCAUCUAAUUAGUAAGAAGGCCUUAAGAGCAAAAACGGUUUCCUGGAGAAAAAGAAAUUCUGGCUCAAGACUGCAGCAUCAAUGUCUGCCUGAAUUUCUGAGUUGCCAGCCUGCUGGCCUGCCUGCCCUAAAAAUUGCUAACUUGCCUACUCUUCAGGUGUCAGAAUGCCAGGCCCCAGCAAUCGCAUGAGCCCAUCCUUGAAAUAAAUCUCUUUAAUAUGCACAAACACACACACGCACACACACACACACCUCCUACUGAUUCAGUUUCUCUAGAGGACUCUGACUGAUUAUGGAUCCCUUUGUCAUUUUAUUUCUCAUGUUCUGUAUAAUUCAUCCAUUUUACUUCUUCAACUAGGUCCAUAAUAUAUUUUUGACCCCAGUAUAUUUAUCCCAGUCUCUUAUCUGAACUCAAUUAUUUUUCCGACUGGUAAGCAUCCCUACAUUGUUGCCUUAGUCCCGUCUUAAACCAAGCAUAUUCAGAUGAAAUUUUUUUCUCUCCCUUUCUCCUUUUUUCCUCUCAGUUAAGGCCAUCUCUUGAUUCCUCUUUCUCUCAUCUUAUACAUCAAUCAGUCCCUAAACUUGGACAGUUUUUUCCUCUCUAGAACCUUUUUUAUUUUUGACCAUGCCCAUGGCAUGCAGAAGUUCCCAGGCCAGGGAUCAAACCUGAGCCACUACUGUAACCAGAGCCCACAGCAGUGACGACACCAGAUCCUUAGCCCACUGAGCCACAAGGGAACUUCCCUCCUUAGAAACUCUUGAAUCUACUCCUUUCUUAUUUCUUCCACUUCUUUACGUUAGAACCUCUAAUCAUCUCUUAGAUUGUCUUUUUUCCCCUAAUUAUGAUUUUCUAACCUAAUCUUGUUUACCACUGUCUUUUUCUUCUAUGUCAUUAUCCACGGAUCCACAAAGGUUUUUUUUCUUGUCAUAACGAUUGCAUUAUAUUGUAAUUAUUUUUUUACAUGCUAUGCCCUGCCUUCUAGAUUGGGUGUCAUUCAUUACGUUUGUGUUGAAUGAAUGAAUACGUUGGUCACCGUUUUCUUUACCACAAAGAAUUACUAAUUUUCUGCCUCUAGCAUAAAUUAUAUUUUCCUAGAGAAUCAAAUUAAUAAAUCAAAUUAGACUAUUGAAUCCUGUUAUUUUUUCCCUUCUUACUAGUACAUGUGUAGUGAUUCAGUUCUUUCCAAUACAAGUGUUCUUAACUUGGGAUCCACACAUAGCCUUCUAAGACAUGCAUGAACUCACAAAAAUUUUAUGGGAAUCUGUGUAUUUUUCUGUGGAAUAUGACCAUAGUUUUCAUUAAAUCCUCCAAGGGGCCUGAGUUGCCUAAAUGCUUAAGACUCACUGCACUGAGUGAAACUGUGUGGGCUUGUAUCCCACUUCCACCACUUACUGACUGUGGGACCUUCGACAAGUUAUUUAACCACUCACAGCUUUAUCCUCUUUAAAUUGUGGCACAGGAAUGAUAACGGCUUCAUAAGGUCAUUGUGAAUAUUAGCAAGUUGAUGUAUGUCAAGUGCUUGGCACAUAUAAAUGGCUGUGUGACUCUUACUAUAAAAAAUGCCCAUAAAAAUGAUACAUAUUUUAAAAAUUACAAGACUUUCAAAUCUUGAAAAAUAUAAGAUUUAAAGCUCAAAAGAUAGGGAAGAGUUGAAGAUUUAGGUUUGGAAGUUAUCUACAUAGAAGCAGUAGUUGAAACCACAAAAGUAGGAGCCGUUCUGUGGGAGAAAAAAUGAAAAGAAAGACAGAGUUUGAGGGUACCCAUAGUAGGCAAGCCCGUAGUAAGGUGAAAACCGAGGGAAAAGAGCUCAUGAAGAUGUCAGUGGGAUUUCUUCAGAUCCAGUGAAGGAAUUUUACUGUAAAAGGUACAGGUAAGCUUUCCUUGAAUCAAGGAAAUUGAGGACUAGAGACUGCUGGAUUUUGUAAUUAAGAGAAUGCACUAGUUUCCUAGUAACAAAUUACUGCAAACUGGGUGGCUUAACACAACCGAAACAUAUUCAUGGUUUUGGAGGACAAAAGCCUGAAAUCAAGGUGUCAGCAGGGCCCUGCUGCCUCCAAAGAUUCUAGGGGAAAAUCCUUCCUUGUCUCUUCCAAUUCAGGUGGUUAGUGGCAGUCCUGGGCAUUGUUGGCUUAUCACUGCAUCCCUCCAGUUUCUGCCUCCUUCUUCACAUGGUCCUUUUCCCUUGAGGGUCUGUGUCUCUAUGUCCAAAUUCCCCUCUGAUUAUUAGGAUAUCAGUCAUUGGAUUUAAGCCUGAUUCUAAUCUAGUGUAUUCCAACCAUCACUUGAUUAUAUCUGCAAGGACUCUAUUUCCAAAUAAGGUCGUAUUCACAGGUACUGGGUGGGCCUGAGAUUUGGGGGUGGAAACCAUUCAACCCAGUACAAAGAACUCUAGUUACUCUGGAGAUAAAGUAAAGUAGGAAGCUAUACCGAAGGCCCAAAGAAAUAAGUUAGUAAGUGCUUAAAGUGGAUAUCACCCUCCCCCACCCCAGAAAUUUCUUGCUAAAAGAAAAAUAGAAUUGUAAUUUGAGGCAAAAACAACAUUGACAAAGAGAGACAUGGUGAUAAAUUAGAUAAAGAUAGAGUCAGAAAUAGAGAUAUAGCCACAGAACAGAUGUAGACAUAAAAAUGAAGAAUAGUGUUUAGGCCUAAGUGGGGGUGUCAGAAAGGAAGGUUAUCGAGUACAGUGGUGGGAGGUUAGCUGGAAAGAUGACAGGACAACUGCUUCUCUGAGAUAAGAGAGCAGACUCUAUUUUGCCGUUCCAGUAACAGCUUGAGAAACAAAUGACUGUUAUUAAUCAUACAUUCUUUAAAAUAGUGUGCACUGUUUUACAUUGUUUUGUCUGUUUUCUCAUUGUAUACGUCAGUUUUAUAUUUCUCAAAAAGAUUCUUCAUUUUCCAAAGCAAAUGCUAAAAGAAUCACUCGUAAUUAAAAUUGAAUGUAAUCAACA